rfam:Pisolithus microcarpus 441 unplaced genomic scaffold scaffold_47, whole genome shotgun sequence.
GGCCGACUAGCUCAGUUGGUUAGAGCGUCGUGCUAAUAACGCGAAGGUCGUGGGUUCGACCCCCCCGUUGGCCA